AUGAAGAACGUAGCGAAAUGCGAUAAGUAAUGUGAAUUGCAGAAUUCAGUGAAUCAUUGAAUCUUUGAACGCAUCUUGCGCUCCUUGGUAUUCUGAGGAGCAUGCCUGUUUGAGUGUCAUUAAAUUCUCAACUACACUGACUUUGAAUUGGUGUGGCUUGGAUUUGGGGGGAAAAUUGUUGUGGGCUUUUUGUAUAGUCUGCUCCCCUGAAAUUGAUUAGCGGUACCUUUGUGGAACUGUCUACAGGUGUGAUAAUUAUCUACAUCUUAGACAUCUGCUGGAAUGCUGCUUUCUAAACCUUACUUGUAUUGACAAUCUUGACCUCAAAUCAGGUAGGACUACCCGCUGAACUUAAGCAUAUCAAUAAGCGGAGGA
rnacentral:misc_RNA from 1 species